UGUGAUCUUGGGAACACAAAAACUCAAACGACCUCAACACAUGAAACCAUAUGUAAUCUGAUUCAUUCAUUUCAAUUGUCAAGCAAGAGAGAGAAAGUGAAGUAGAGCUGUAGACACAAUCAUCACAAAGAACUGUUAGGCUUUAUGUCAAAGGUAGCAGCAACAGCAGCAGUAGGUCAACCAUUAAGCAAAAAUAUCGGCACGUGAAAUCAUAUGUAAUCGAAGAUGCCAACUGUUGGUGAAAACUUUACUGAUUUAUCGUAAGAUUUUGAACUCGAAUUCUGUCUUCGCCACUUAUGAUUGAUUGAUUAUUUCAACUAUCAGAGGAAGUGAAGCAAAGCUCAUCUAACCAUCACAGAGAACUGUUUGGCUUUAUGACAAGGUAGCAGCAGUAGUAGUAGUAGUAGUAGCAGGUCAUUCUCCAUAGACAUAUAGUGAGGAAGUGUAUGGGGCUUUAGUGGGCGGGCCAGAGG
rnacentral:lncRNA from 1 species